rnacentral:rRNA from 1 species
AUUGAACGCUGGCGGCAGGCCUAACACAUGCAAGUCGAGCGGAUGAAGGGAGCUUGCUCCUGGAUUCAGCGGCGGACGGGUGAGUAAUGCCUAGGAAUCUGCCUGGUAGUGGGGGAUAACGUCCGGAAACGGGCGCUAAUACCGCAUACGUCCUGAGGGAGAAAGUGGGGGAUCUUCGGACCUCACGCUAUCAGAUGAGCCUAGGUCGGAUUAGCUAGUUGGUGGGGUAAAGGCCUACCAAGGCGACGAUCCGUAACUGGUCUGAGAGGAUGAUCAGUCACACGGGAACUGAGACACGGUCCAGACUCCUACGGGAGGCAGCAGUCGGGAAUAUUGGACAAUGGGCGAAAGCCUGAUCCAGCCAUGCCGCGUGUGUGAAGAAGGUCUUCGGAUUGUAAAGCACUUUAAGUUGGGAGGAAGGGCAGUAAGUUAAUACCUUGCUGUUUUGACGUUACCAACAGAAUAAGCACCGGCUAACUUCGUG